GCAACCGGAAUGGCUCAUUAUAACAGCUAUAAUUUACUUGAUCUUGACACAAUCCUACUUGGAUAACUGUGGUAAUUCUAGAGCUAAUACAUGCAUUAAAGCUCUGACCUCACGGGAAGAGUGCAUUUAUUAGAACAAAACCAAGCGGCUUCGGCUGUUUCUGGUUGACUCAUAGUAACUGAGCUGAUCGCAUGGUCUUGCACCGGCGACGUGUCUUUCAAGUAUCUGCCGUAUCAACUUUCGAUGGUAGUGUAUCUGACUACCAUGGUGAUCACGCGUAACGGAGAAUAAGGGUUCGGCUCCGGAGAGUUCGCCUGAGAAAUCGCGAACACAUCUAAGGAAGGCAGCAGGCGCGAAAAUUACCCACUCUCAGCACGAGGAGGUAGUGACGAAAAAUAACGAGACCGUUCUCUUAUGAGGCCGGUCAUCGGAAUGGGUACAAUUUAAACCCUUUAACGAGUAUCUAUGAGAGGGCAAGUCUGGUGCCAGCAGCCGCGGUAAUUCCAGCUCUCAAAGUGCAUAGAAUUAUUGC
rnacentral:rRNA from 1 species